CCUACGGGAGGCUGCAGUAGGGAAUCUUUCACAAUGGGCGAAAGCCUGAUGGAGCAACGCCGCGUGCAGGAUGAAGGCCUUCGGGUUGUAAACUGCUUUUAUAAGCGAGAAAUAUGAUGGUAACUUAUGAAUAAGGAUCGGCUAACUACGUGCCAGCAGCCGCGGUCAUACGUAGGAUUCGAGGAUUAUCCGGAGUGACUGGGUGUAAAGAGUUGCGUAGGUGGCAUAAUAAGUAGCUAGUGAAAUCUGGUGGCUCAACCAUUCAGACUAUUAGCGAAACUGUUAAGCUCGAGACCGUUAGGGGUAACUGGAAUGUCUAGUGUAGGAGUGAAAUCCGUAGAUAUUAGAAGGAACACCAAUAGCGUAGGCAGGUUGCUGGGACGGUUCUGACACUAAGGCACGAAAGCGUAGGGAGCAAACGGGAUUAGAUACCCCAGUAGUC
rnacentral:rRNA from 1 species